rnacentral:tRNA from 1 species
GGAUAUGGCUCAGUGGUAGAGAAGUUGCCUAGUAUGUACAAGGUCCUGGUUUCAAUCCCUAGUGCCA